CCCUCCCUCCCUCUCUCUCUCUCUCUCUCUCUCUCUCUCUCUCUCUCUCUGAAUUCACAGUAAAAAUAGAAUAGAUACUCAUUUACAUCUGCAUAAUUUUCUGUCAUGCCUCUGGUGUUCGUUGUCAGAGGAUAGAGAGAAUCAUAUGCCCACAUCAAUCGUCUAUAUUCUAGAAUGGCAUUACAUUCUACCUACAUCUAUAACCCAGGGUAGCCUGGGUAGCGGCAGGGUAGCCUAGUGGUUAGUGUGUUGGACUAGUAACAGAAAGGUUGCAAGAUUGAAUCCCUGAGCUGACAAGCAGAUUGCGGCCCGGUUGAGGCUUCAUGUUGAAAGCUACGACCUGGUCGAAAGCUUCAAGUGACUUUAAGUGACCAAAUGUACUUGGCAAAGUGGGUCAGUCAGUCACAGGAAGGACAGUACGAUGAUCCCCCAGCAUACUCCAGUUCCAUGGAGGAUAGGAUGUCCUGUCCAACUGUCCACACUAAAGCUGGGACACUGAUCUACGGUCAGUUGAGCUUUCAUCUCUCUAACAGUGAAACUUGGGAUUUGGAGAGGGUAAACUGAUCCUAAAUCUGGGUAAAUUCUACCCAGAGCCCAAAAGAACAUUGUGUCCUUUUCACAAAUGUUUUGCUUGUUUAUGUCUCUUCUUCCUGUUCCUUGUUGGGUUGUUGUGUCCUUGUUGAGUUGUUGUGUCCUUGUUGGGUUGUUGUGUCCUUGUUGUGUUGUUGUGUCCUCGUUGGGUAAUUGUGUCCUUGUUGGGUUGUCGUGUCCUUGUUGGGUUGUCGUGUCCUUGUUGGGUUGUCGUGUCCUUGUUGGGUUGUCGUGUCCUUGUUGGGUAAUUGUGUCCUUGUUGGGUUGUCGUGUCCUUGUUGGGUUGUCGUGUCCUUGUUGGGUUGUCGUGUCCUUGUUGGGUAAUUGUGUCCUUGUUGGGUUGUCGUGUCCUUGUUGGGUAAUUGUGUCCUUGUUGUGUUGUCGUGUCCUUGUUGGGUAAUUGUGUCCUUGUUGGGUUGUCGUGUCCUUGUUGGGUUGUCGUGUCCAUGUUGGGUAAUUGUGUCCUUGUUGGGUUGUCGUGUCCUUGCUAGGUUGUUGUGGCAGCAGAGCCAGAGGUUGGUGGGUUGUUAGGUUUAUCUGAUGGUUCCGUGGUUAUUGUGGUCAUUCCAAAGGAGGGACAGAGAGCAUUCAGUUGUAAAUUGUCUGGUCACCAAACAAGGAAUGCACUGAACGGCAUCCCCAAAUUGAAAAUAAGAGCCAAUCAUUAUUUAUUUAUUUAUAUAUGAGGAUUUAAAAAUCUUGCUGAAUAAAGGCACUGUUUGAUGAUGUAAUGUAUAAAAUUAGUUGGGAAAAGUAAUACCCUUGUUACUGUUCACAUUUCUUUUAAAAAUCUUUAUCCAAUUCCUCCCGUCACAGUCAAUUUGAAGAUUUGGCUGCAGAGAUGAUCUUCUCCUUUCAUUUAGACAAAAGAAAUCCUGGAGAUGCCGGGGAUUGAACCCGGGGCCUCAUACAUGCAAAGCAUGCGCUCUACCACUGAGCUACAUCCCCUC
ensembl:lncRNA